rnacentral:rRNA from 1 species
GAUGAACGCUGGCGGCGUGCCUAAUACAUGCAAGUCGAGCGAACGGACGAGAAUCUUGCUUUUCUGAUGUUAGCGGCGGACGGGUGAGUAACACGUGGCUAACCUACCUAUAAGACUGGGAUAACUUCGGGAAACCGGAGCUAAUACCGGAUAAUAUUUUGAACCGCAUGGUUCAAAAGUGAACGACGGUCUUGCUGUCCCUUAUAGAUGGAUCCGCGCUGCAUUAGCUAGUUGGUAAGGUAACGGCUUACCAAGGCAACGAUGCAUAGCCGACCUGAGAGGGUGAUCGGCCACACUGGAACUGAGACACGGUCCAGACUCCUACGGGAGGCAGCAGUAGGGAAUCUUCCGCAAUGGGCGAAAGCCUGACGGAGCAACGCCGCGUGAGUGAUGAAGGUCUUCGGAUCGUAAAACUCUGUUAUUAGGGAAGAACAUAUGUGUAAGUAACUGUGCACAUCUUGACGGUACCUAAUCAGAAAGCCACGGCUAACUACGUG